AAACGAACGAAUGAACGAUCGAGCGAGGCAGGGGCAGUGAGGCCGAAGCCCUAAGUGGCGCACGCUCCUCUUCUCCUCCACCGCCAUCGCUGCUGGCGCCGGCGUUUUCACUCUCCGUUGCGGUAGCGCCGCUUUCAAGACGUCGCUCUCUUCGCUUCGCUUAAACCUUCCACCUCCUCGUGCAGCCGGGAUCCGAAGUACCCCAAAAACGAGAGGAAACCAAGUAUCAGGACGCCUUCUACAAGUACCACCACAAUAAGGUCCCUUUCUCUCUUUCUAUGUUCCUUGUUUCUCUUUCUUUCUGGAUGAUUUUUGCGUUUUCGAUUGAUCAAAGGAUUCUUGUCAGAGUUCUUCAAGAUUCGCCUUACUUGUAGAAGGAUUGGGAACACCACUUCUUGGUGAGUAUAAUCAACUCGCCAAGAUCCUUCCACCUUAUUGUACAACCAGG
rnacentral:lncRNA from 1 species